GGCUCAACAGGUCAUGUCCGCGGGGUGCAGCAGCGGGGUCUCUUUACUGGAGGUGCUCUGUGCGCCACGAUGCUGCUGUCAAGGCUGGAGGCUACCAAGAGCGAGCUCCCAGCCUCUGCUCACUUGGUCUGGAAUGGGUUAAGUGCGGAGGCUCAGGAGCUGUUGCGGGCAGGCGCCGGGCACCGCGCACACUAGAUCCAUGGAGGGCUAGCUCAGCUGCAGCCCCUGCCGGCAGACCCCCAAGCCGUAGGUGGCAGGCGGGGACAGCGAGGUGCACGCGCGCCCCGGCCGUGGGCGGCCUCCCAGCUCGCGCUCCCUCCAAGUGCAGGGCAUACGCAGGAGUAAUCAGUCGCUGCCAACCCGGAGGUUGGCACGCGUGCGGAGGAGCCCGGCGCGUUCCCGGCGUCGGGAAAGCGCACAGAAUCGCAGCGCUCGCACAGACAGGAGCAAGAAUGUGGAGAGUGAUGUGGGAAACCUGACGUGGAAGGAAGCAGCAGAGGCUCCCGAUGACAAAUGAGGAAAACCUGGGCACACACAGUAACUGCCUUUCCAGACACUCGCCCAUAGGUGGAGUGGUUUCCUAGGUGAUCCGUGUGGGCUUGAAGCUGCCACCCUGAUUCAGACACAACUCAGCUGAAUUCUGGGCUGCAUAGCUGGAAUCUGUAGAACAGAGCUGAAGCUAAGGAUUUAAAUGUGGUCACCAUCCCUGCAGGAUUUGUUGGUCUUGGGUCUACAGUACUGUGAUACAAGGUGACUCAGUGGGUUCACACAGAGUCCAAGGAAGGGCAUGCUGUGGACCAGACACACUUAACCUCAGUUCUCCAAAGGAGCAACACAAGGGAGCCUCAGCUCAGGGCUGUCGGAUGUGCAAACUGCAAAAAACCAAACCAAAGCAAAGCAAAAAACCCAAAACCCUUGUUGCUACCAGGCUGGGUCACCUCCGCCCCAACGGAUAUAGCCUGAGUUGAGGUUCCUCUUUCGAAAGUUCAGAGAGUUGGGCGAGUCCUCCUCACAAGAGAGGAGAGUGGGAAGGGCAAGGUGGGAGUGGCGUGAUCAGGGGGUGGACAUAUGUGAAAUCUGAUCCGGUGCCAAGGAAAGGGUAUGUGCUGCCAGAGACCCCAGGGCAAAGCUCAGCCUUCACCAGGCAUGUCUAGCUCCUGAGCUGGCCGACU
rnacentral:lncRNA from 1 species